rnacentral:rRNA from 1 species
CAGCAGCCGCCGCGGUAAUACGGAGGGUGCAAGCGUUAUCCGGAUUCACUGGGUUUAAAGGGUGCGUAGGCGGAUUCUUAAGUCCGUGGUGAAAUCUCCAAGCUUAACUUGGAAACUGCCAUGGAUACUAUUAGUCUUGAAUGUUGUGGAGGUUAGCGGAAUAUGUCAUGUAGCGGUGAAAUGCAUAGAUAUGACAUAGAACACCAAUUGCGAAGGCAGCUGGCUACACAAAUAUUGACGCUGAGGCACGAAAGCGUGGGGAUCAAACAGGAUUAGAACCCCCGUAGUCCCUGUCUCUUAUACA